rnacentral:pre_miRNA from 1 species
CAUAAAUCAAUCUUUCACUUAUUACCUAUAAUGUUUGACUCUUCGUCUUAUUUGAAAAAUAUUUACGAUUAAUAUUUUUAUUUUUAUUAGAUGAUAAAUCAUAAAUAGUACUUUAACUGUAACUAAUUUUUUUUAAAUUUCUUAAAAAUUUUCAAAUAAAACGGACGGAGAAACGUUAGACAUGAAAACCAAAGAAUUGGUUUUUU